UGGACAUAUUUUAGGAUAAUUAAGCUACAAUGUAUAUGAAAUGGAAGAGAGGAGCUAGAGACUGGUUCUUCCCUUAUUCCUAUCACAGUAUUUGCACAAGGUGAUGCAGACCAUCUCUAACACUUGCCUUUUCUCUCACUUCUACUUGUAGAUGGCCGCCCUGCUCCCCCAAUGAAAGGCCAGCUUCGAAGAAAAGCUGAAAGGGAGACGUUUGCAAGACGAGUUGUACUGCUGUCACAGGAAAUGGACGCUGGAUUACAAGCAUGGCAGCUCAGGCAGCAGAAGUUGCAGGAAGAACAAACGAAGCAGGAAAAUGCUCUUAAACCC
rnacentral:sRNA from 1 species